rnacentral:rRNA from 1 species
AUUGAACGCUGGCGGCAUGCCUUACACAUGCAAGUCGAACGGCAGCACGGGGUCUCGGGCAACUGAGCCCUGGUGGCGAGUGGCGAACGGGUGAGUAAUGCAUCGGAACGUGCCCAGUAGUGGGGGAUAACUAGUCGAAAGAUUAGCUAAUACCGCAUACGACCUACGGGUGAAAGCGGGGGAUUUUCGGGCAACCGAGAACCUCGCGCUAUCGGAGCGGCCGAUGUCU